rnacentral:rRNA from 1 species
UACGUAGGGUGCAAGCGUUAAUCGGAAUUACUGGGCGUAAAGCGUGCGCAGGCGGUUUUGUAAGUCUGUCGUGAAAUCCCCGGGCUCAACCUGGGAAUUGCGAUGGAGACUGCAAGGCUUGAGUCUGGCAGAGGGGGGUAGAAUUCCACGUGUAGCAGUGAAAUGCGUAGAGAUGUGGAGGAACACCGAUGGCGAAGGCAGCCCCCUGGGUCAAGAUUGACGCUCAUGCACGAAAGCGUGGGGAGCAAACAGG